AUCUUUUUGUAAUUUCUAAGCAUGGUGAUCGAUGGGCUUUCACGUGCAUCUGUGAGAUGUGACUCCUUCAAACCUUGUUGUGAAGUCAGCACAUUACCUGGCAGAAA